UGCAGUCGAGCGAACAGAAGGGAGCUUGCUCCCGGAUGUUAGCGGCGGACGGGUGAGUAACACGUGGGUAACCUGCCUGUAAGACUGGGAUAACUCCGGGAAACCGGAGCUAAUACCGGAUAGUUCCUUGAACCGCAUGGUUCAAGGAUGAAAGACGGUUUCGGCUGUCACUUACAGAUGGACCCGCGGCGCAUUAGCUAGUUGGUGGGGUAAUGGCUCACCAAGGCGACGAUGCGUAGCCGACCUGAGAGGGUGAUCGGCCACACUGGGACUGAGACACGGCCCAGACUCCUACGGGAGGCAGCAGUAGGGAAUCUUCCGCAAUGGACGAAAGUCUGACGGAGCAACGCCGCGUGAGUGAUGAAGGUUUUCGGAUCGUAAAGCUCUGUUGUUAGGGAAGAACAAGUGCGAGAGUAACUGCUCGCACCUUGACGGUACCUAACCAGAAAGCCACGGCUAACUAC
rnacentral:rRNA from 1 species